rnacentral:rRNA from 1 species
AGAGUUUGAUCCUGGCUCAGAAUCAACGCUGGCGGCGCGCUUAACACAUGCAAGUCGCACGAGAAAGUGGAGCAAUCCAUGAGUACAGUGGCGUACGGGUGAGUAACACGUGGAUCAUCUACCUCUUAGUGGGGAAUAACCCUGGGAAACCGGGGCUAAUACCGCAUAAGCUCGAGAGAGGAAAGCAGCAAUGCGCUGAGAGAGGAGUCCGCGGCCGAUUAGCUAGUUGGCAGGGUAAACGCCUACCAAGGCAAAGAUCGGUAGCCGGCCUGAGAGGGCACACGGCCACACUGGCACUGAAACACGGGCCAGACUCCUACGGGAGGCAGCAGUGGGGAAUCUUGCACAAUGGGGGAAACCCUGAUGCAGCGACGCCGCGUGAGCGAUGAAGCCCUUCGGGGUGUAAAGCUCUUUCGGCAGGGACGAUCAUGACGGUACCUGCAGAAGCAGCUGCGGCUAACUACGUGCCAGCAGCCGCGGUAAUACGUAGGCAGCGAGCGUUGUUCGGAGUUACUGGGCGUAAAGGGUGUGUAGGCGGUUGCUUAAGUUUGGUGUGAAAUCUCCCGGCUCAACUGGGAGGGUGCGCCGAAUACUGAGUGACUCGAGUGCGGGAGAGGAGAGUGGAAUUCCUGGUGUAGCGGUGAAAUGCGUAGAUAUCAGGAGGAACACCGGCGGUGUAGACGGCUCUCUGGACCGUAACUGACGCUGAGACACGAAAGCGUGGGUAGCAAACAGGAUUAGAUACCCUGGUAGUCCACGCCCUAAACGAUGCAUAUUUGGUGUGGGUCAUUCAGUUGAUCCGUGCCGGAGCUAACGCGUUAAAUAUGCCGCCUGGGGAGUACAGUCGCAAGGCUGAAACUCAAAGGAAUUGACGGGGGCCCGCACAAGCGGUGGAGCAUGUGGUUCAAUUCGACGCAACGCGAAGAACCUUACCUGGGCUCGAACGGCUGGUUACCGGGCGGUGGAAACAUCGCUACCCCGCAA